GGGGGUAUAGCUCAGGGAUAUAGCGCUCGCUUUGCAUGCGAGAAGUCUGGGGUUCGAAUCCCCAUACCUCCA
rnacentral:tRNA from 1 species